CCGCGGUAACACCGGCAGCUCAAGUGGUAGCCGCUUUUAUUGGGCCUAAAGCGUCCGUAGCCGGUCUGAUAAGUCUCUGGUGAAAUCCCACAGCUUAACUGUGGGAAUUGCUGGAGAUACUAUCAUGACUCGAGGUCGGGAGAGGCUGGAGGUACUCCCAGGGUAGGGGUGAAAUCCUGUAAUCCUGGGAGGACCACCUGUGGCGAAGGCGUCCAGCUGGAACGAACCUGACGGUGAGGGACGAAAGCCAGGGGCGCGAACCGGAUUAGAUACCCGGGUAGUCCUGGCCGUAAACGAUGUGGACUUGGUGUUGGGAUGGCUUCGAGCUGCCCCAGUGCCGAAGGGAAGCUGUUAAGUCCACCGCCUGGGAAGUACGGCCGCA
rnacentral:rRNA from 1 species